UACGUAGGGGGCAAGCGUUGUCCGGAAUCAUUGGGCGUAAAGCGCGUGUAGGCGGCUUGGUAAGUCCGCUCUGAAAGCCCGGGGCUCAACCCCGGGAGGCGGGUGGAUACUGUCAAGCUCGAGUCCGGAAGAGGCGAGUGGAAUUCCUGGUGUAGCGGUGAAAUGCGCAGAUAUCAGGAGGAACACCAAUGGCGAAGGCAGCUCGCUGGGACGUGACUGACGCUGAGGCACGAAGGCCAGGGGAGCAAACGGG
rnacentral:rRNA from 1 species